rnacentral:lncRNA from 1 species
GGCAGGAAUUUCGGGCCCAUGUAAAUGAAAUCAUUGGCUAACAUGGUCUUCGAGCACAAUUUUUACUUUUAUUUUGAACCACAGCACAACAACGAUACAUUGUCGCGACGAUACUGCCCACUGCUUAUAUGAUGUCCUGUGUCAAGGUAGGAGAAACUGUGAAGAACGACGAGACUAAAAGCGAAGAAACUUAUUUCAAGGGAUCAAGACUCGACUGACGACCUGUCACCGAGAAAGGAGAUAACCAAAGAUGACGAAGAUAGGCAUACAACACGAGGUUGUUGCUAUAACAACACGAGGUUGUUGCUAUAACAACACGAGGUUGUUUUUAUAACAACACUCGCUUAUUUAGCUUUCAAGUAAGCUAUAGACGGAACCCACUCCCUCACCCCAUCCUCAGAAGACAAAGAGCAAGCCAUACUUUGGGCAGCGCUGAGGGGGACUGCCAGUUAGUCCUGGCCGAUGACUAUUCCUUUGGGCAUGGCCUGAUACAGUAGCAGCGACGGCGAAAGGUGCCCCGGCAAUCUCCCCGGAAGAAACCCUGCCUCCUGCAGAAUGUUGAGCACAUCCAAUUGGCAAAGCAGAACUUGUUGGUCGGCCGGCUACAGACCCUCCGGGCCGCUUCCACAGUCUCCGAUAACUCUCGAGCGGAACCUACGUCCAGAGAAAAAAUUAGUAUG